rnacentral:rRNA from 1 species
UACGUAGGGUGCGAGCGUUAAUCGGAAUUACUGGGCGUAAAGGGCGUGUAGGUGGUUACGUAAGUCUGGCGUGAAAUUUUUCGGCUUAACCGGGAAAGGUCGUCGGAUACUGCGGGACUAGAGGACGGUAGAGGCGUGUGGAAUUCCGGGUGUAGUGGUGAAAUGCGUAGAGAUCCGGAGGAACACCAGUGGCGAAGGCGACACGCUGGGCCGUACCUGACACUGAUGCGCGACAGCAUGGGGAGCAAACAGG